UCUGAGGGGGAGUUUCUUUGGGGAAGGAAGGCCCAGUUUCGCCACUGAACAAAGAAUGAAAAUAACCAACAAAGGGAUCCCCCUCCCCAGUGAGGGAGACGCAGGAUCAGAGAAGCGAGAGAGACAUCGGGGGAAAAACCACCGGGGCUAGAGAGAGCCAGGCAAAGGAAGAAAGGAUCUCCACUGAGCUGCGGAAGGUUUUGCCCACCUCGCCUGCCGCUCCUCUCCUUUGCCAUCCUGCUCCCUUCCCUCCGUUCUCCUCUCUCUGAGGUUUGCAAACAAAACGUCACCAAUCGAUAAGCCUCUCGCUGUGUGUGUGUGUGUGUGUGUGUGUGUGUGUGAUCCUGACCGGCCGGACUCCCAAAUCUGCCGCUCCCGACUCGUUCACUACCUCUGUAGGAAGCCACAAGAAGUUCCCAGCCAGGCGAGCGGCCCCUUUGGCGGAGGAUGGCGGAGCUGGGACAGGUGCAGUUAAAGGAAGAAAGCUUGAAAAUGGAACCCAAAAUGGAACCUAAAAUCUCAAAAACCAGAAGAACCUAGGAGCCCCAGUCAUGGCCCAGGAGCCCGUUGUGCCAGGUGCUAUACAAAUACAGAACAAAAAGACAGUUCCUGCCCCAAUAACUCCUGGAAGGCAUGGAGAAAUAAAAGGGAGCAUAGCCACAAGGCGAAGCUGAGCAAUACCAGGACAGACUAGUGGGCAACAGAAUGAGGGCAGGCCAGUGCAGAGGAUGCACUGGGAUCCUGUUCUGCUAUGAAGACAAAGAAGACUUCUGCUGCAUGAAGGGAUGUGACCGUGUCAGCCGAAGACCGAGCAGAUGAAUAGAUCUAUUGACAGACAGCUGCAGGAAGCACCACUGGAAGGGGCAAGACUGGCAGAGAUUACGGUGAUGCUGGAGAAAGAAGAAGGUGAGGAGGAGAGUGUGCAGGAAUAUGAUCCCCAACAACUCCUGUUAUCUCAGAAAGGGACUCGGUCCAGGGUCACCUUGAGGAGGAAAGAGGGGAAGGUGGACAUGAUGCAGGAAGGGAUCGCUGAUAUAUUCAGGAACAGUCCAUUGUAGUCAAUGGGAAUCUCUCCACCCAUUUCAAUGGGCUUUGGAGCAUUGAACUCGGACUCGAAUAACCAAUGCACUGAACUCAGAACCUAACAUGGGUUCUAGUUCUAUGUGGGGUUUGUUUGGGGCACAGAGCUGAUAUUCAGAGUUUGC